UGCUGUGAAGAGGCUAGAUAUACUGAAUUUGUGAUGAAGGGCCAAAGCUCGGAGC
rnacentral:ncRNA from 16 species